rnacentral:rRNA from 1 species
UGGGGAAUAUUGCACAAUGGGCGAAAGCCUGAUGCAGCAACGCCGCGUGAGUGAUGAAGGUCUUCGGAUUGUAAAGCUCUGUCUUUUGGGACGAUAAUGACGGUACCAAAGGAGGAAGCCACGGCUAACUACGUGCCAGCAGCCGCGGUAAUACGUAGGUGGCGAGCGUUGUCCGGAUUUACUGGGCGUAAAGGGUGCGUAGGCGGAUGUUUAAGUGAGAUGUGAAAUACCCGGGCUUAACUUGGGUGCUGCAUUUCAAACUGGAUAUCUAGAGUGCAGGAGAGGAGAAUGGAAUUCCUAGUGUAGCGGUGAAAUGCGUAGAGAUUAGGAGACACCAGUGGCGAAGGCGAUUCUCUGGACUGUAACUGACGCUGAGGCACGAAAGCGUGGGUAGCAAACAGGAUUAGAUACCCUGGUAGUCCACGCCGUAAACGAUGAGUACUAGGUGUAGGAGGUAUCGACCCCUUCUGUGCCGCAGUAAACACAUUAAGUACUCCGCCUGGGAAGUACGAUCGCAAGAUUAAC